UAAUACGUAGGGUGCAAGCGUUAAUCGGAAUUACUGGGCGUAAAGCGUACGCAGGCGGCUUUGCAAGACAGGUGUGAAAUCCCCGGGCCUAACCUGGGAACUGCAUUUGUGACUGCAUCGCUAGAGUCUGUCAGAGGGGGGUGGAAUUCCACGUGUAGCAGUGAAAUGCGUAGAGAUGUGGAAGAACACCGAUGGCGAAGGCAGCCCCCUGGGAUGAGACUGACGCUCAUGUACGAAAGCGUGGGGAGCAAACAGG
rnacentral:rRNA from 1 species